CUUAUGAGGAGGAAGCACCUAGAACUGGGAGGUCACAUGUUUGGGCCACGUUGCAUCCUUAUGUCAGUGCCCUGCACGUAAGAAACACACCUGAUGCUUUAAAGUUUCUGGAUCUUACCGGUUGUUGAGGAUCUGCUUCAGACAGCUCCUCUUCUGUCAGUCACCCCGUUGCCCUAAAACUGUCCUAAAUGACUUAAUCUACAGAGCAACAGUCCUCCAGAGAGGCUGGCUCCCCAACUGUGACCUUCUACAACUGGAGCGUCUAGAGAAAUGAACUGGCUUAUGAGACGUGAUUAGACAAAGGGAGAGGCAGCGAGACAAGGCGAGGGUAGGACAUCCAGCGCCAUCAUCAUUAUUCUACUGCAUCCCCCGAGGAGUGAGACAGAGCUGAGGCCGGGGCCGGACCAGGCAGGGGGAGAAAACACUGUAGAACCAGAGCACCAGGACCUGGGAAUGCACACAAGUGAUAUUUGUGCGCUGAGAUCAAAAAGCAUUUACCUUUAGAUGUUUCCCUGAUAUGAAUAUUCAACAUCCUUAUUGAAAUCUAAUUUGGGUCUCCUUGUCUCAGGGGUCUUUUCAUCAGUGCCUGUUGCCUGAGGCCACUGCUGAUUGACAGCCAAACUUUAGUAAAGAGCAAGCGGGAAAAAAGGGGAGAUCUGGUGGUGUUGGAGAUGUGAGUUGUGUGAAGCUGGGGAGAGCUGGA